GGGGUUAUAAGGGGGUUCUAUUGGGAUUAGAUGGGAUUAAACUGGGAUUAGAAUGGGGUGAGAAUGGGAUUACAAUGGGGGCAAUGGGGUUAAAAUGGGAUUAGAAUGGGGUUCUAAUGGGGUUAGAAUGGGGGGCAAUGGGAUUAUAAUGGGGUUAUAAUGGGGUUGUACUGGGAUCAUACUGGGAUUAGAAUGGGGUGGUAAUGGGAUUCCAAUGGGGGCAAUGGGGUUAUACUGGGAUUAGAAUGGGGUUCUAUUGGGAUCAUACUGGGAGUAUAAUGGGGUUAUACUGGGAUUAGAAUGAGGCGGCAAUGGGAUUGUAAUGGGGUUAUAAUGGGGUUAUACUGGGAUUAAACUGGGAUUAGAAUGGGGGGGCAAUGGGGUCAUACUGGGAUUUGCAGCCCGUGCAUAGGAAUGCAACCUCGUUGCAACACGUGCAUUGCAACGUGAGCACCGCACACCUCGAGGGUUGCAACGCAGCUACUUUGCAGCUCCUGCACUGCUGCUGUGCAUUGCAAUGGCAAUGGGUUGUGCUGGAGAUUUGCAGCCCAUGCAUCAGAAUGCAAGCCCAUUGCAACACGUGCAUUGCAACGUGAGCAAUGCACACCUCGAGGGUUGCAACGCAGCUGCUUGGCAGCUCCUGCACUGCUGCUGUGCAUUGCAACGGGAAGGGAUUGUGCUGGAGAUUGGCAGCCCGUGCAUCAGAAUGCAAGCCCAUUGCAACACGUGCAUUGCAACGUGAGCACUGCACACCUCGAGGGUUGCAACACAGCUACUUGGCAGCUCCUGCACUGCUGCUGUGCAUUGCAAUGGGAAUGGGUUGUGCUGGAGAUUUGCAGCCCGUGCAUCAGAAUGCAAGCCCAUUGCAACACGUGCAUUGCAACGUGAGCACUGCACACUUCGAGGGUUGCAACGCAGCUACUUGGCAGCUCCUGCACUGCUGCUGUGCAUUGCAACGGGAAGGGAUUGUGCUGGAGAUUGGCAGCCCGUGCAUCAGAAUGCAAACUCAUUGCAACAUGUGCAUUGCAACGUGAGCACCUCACACCUCGAUGGUUGCAACGCAGCCACUUUGCAGCUCCUGCACUGCUGCUGUGCAUUGCAAUGGGCACGUGUUGCCUGCAACAUUUGCAUCCUGUGCAUCACAAUGCAAGCACUUUGCAACCCGUGCAUUGCACCUGGAACACCUUGCACCCAGAGGAUUGCAAUGAGUGCAGUUUGCACCUCCUGCACUGCUGCUGUGUAUUGCAAUGGGAAUGGAUGGUGUUGGAGAUUUGCAGCCCGGGCAUCAGAAUGCAAGUGCAUUGCAACAUGUGCAUUGCACCUGGAACACCUUACACCCAGAGGAUUGCAACGAGUGCACUUAGCACCUCCUGCACUCCUCCUGCACAUUGCUCCAUGCACGUGUUGCCUCCAACAUUUGCAUCCCGUGCAUCACAACACAAGCCCAUUGCAACCCAUGUAUCAGAGCCUGAGUACCUUCCACCCAGAGGACUGCAAUGAGUGCAGUUUACACCCCUGCACUGCUGCUGGGCAUUGUAAUGGGAAUGGACUGUGCUGGAGAUUUGCACCCCGUGCAUUGCAACGCAAUCCCAUUGCAACUCAUGCAUCACACCCUGAACACUUUGCACCCAGAGCACUACAGUGCAGGUGUAGUGGACCCCCUGUGUCAUUGCUGUGCAUUGCAAUGGGAAUGGAUUGCUCUGGAGAUUUGCACCCCGUGCAUGGCAACGCAAGCGCAUUGCAACUCAUGCAUCACACCCUGAACACUCUGCACCCAGAGCACUGCAAUGCAGGUGCAGUGGACCCCCUGUUAUCAUUGCUGUGCAUUGCAACGGGAAUGUACCGUGCAGGAGAUUUGCACCCCGUGCAUGGCAACGCAAGCCCGCUGCGACCCCGCUGCGACCCGUGCAUCGCCACGUGCACCCCUUGCACCCUCCCCACCCCAACAACGCGCACACACAGCGCCGUGCACCGCUUUUACUCCAUUCCACC
ensembl:lncRNA